rnacentral:rRNA from 1 species
UACGUAGGCACCAAGCGUUGUCCGGAUUUAUUGGGCGUAAAGAGCUCGUAGGCGGUUGAGUAAGUCGGGUGUGAAAACUCUGGGCUUAACCCAGAGCCGCCACUCGAUACUGCUCUGACUUGAGUUCGGUAGGGGAGCAGGGAAUUCCUAGUGUAGCGGUGAAAUGCGCAGAUAUUAGGAGGAACACCGGUGGCGAAGGCGGGUCUCUGGGCAGUAACUGACGCUGAGGAGCGAAAGCGUGGGGAGCGAACAGG